rnacentral:rRNA from 1 species
CUGGCUCAGGACGAACGCUGGCGGCGUGCCUAACACAUGCAAGUCGAACGGAGAAUUUCAAUAAGUUUACUUAGAGAAGUUUUUAGUGGCGGACGGGUGAGUAACGCGUGGGUAACCUACCCAUAAAGCCGGGACAACCCUUGGAAACGAGGGCUAAUACCGGAUAAUCUUA